GACGAACGCUGGCGGCGUGCUUAACACAUGCAAGUCGAACGGAAAGGCCCUGCUUUUGUGGGGUGCUCGAGUGGCGAACGGGUGAGUAGCACGUGAGUAACCUGCCCUUGACUUUGGGAUAACUUCAGGAAACUGGGGCUAAUACCGGAUAGGAGCUCCUGCUGCAUGGUGGGGGGUGGAAAGUUUCGGCGGUUGGGGAUGGACUCGCGGCUUAUCAGCUUGUUGGUGGGGUAGUGGCUUACCAAGGCUUUGACGGGUAGCCGGCCUGAGAGGGUGACCGGCCACAUUGGGACUGAGAUACGGCCCAGACUCCUACGGGAGGCAGCAGUGGGGAAUAUUGCACAAUGGGCGGAAGCCUGAUGCAGCAACGCCGCGUGCGGGAUGACGGCCUUCGGGUUGUAAACCGCUUUCGCCUGUGACGAAGCGUGAGUGACGGUAAUGGGUAAAGAAGCACCGGCUAACUACGUG
rnacentral:rRNA from 1 species